rnacentral:rRNA from 1 species
GAGUUUGAUCCUGGCUCAGGUUGAACGCUGGCGGCAGGCCUAACACAUGCAAGUCGAGCGGCAGCACGGGUACUUGUACCUGGUGGCGAGCGGCGGACGGGUGAGUAAUGCCUAGGAAUCUGCCUGGUAGUGGGGGAUAACGCUCGGAAACGGACGCUAAUACCGCAUACGUCCUACGGGAGAAAGCAGGGGACCUUCGGGCCUUGCGCUAUCAGAUGAGCCUAGGUCGGAUUAGCUAGUUGGUGAGGUAAUGGCUCACCAAGGCGACGAUCCGUAACUGGUCUGAGAGGAUGAUCAGUCACACUGGAAUUGAGACACGGUCCAGACUCCUACGGGAGGCAGCAGUGGGGAAUAUUGGACAAUGGGCGAAAGCCUGAUCCAGCCAUGCCGCGUGUGUGAAGAAGGUCUUCGGAUUGUAAAGCACUUUAAGUUGGGAGGAAGGGCAGUUACCUAAUACGUAUCUGUUUUGACGUUACCGACAGAAUAAGCACCGGCUAACUCUGUGCCAGCAGCCGCGGUAAUACAGAGGGUGCAAGCGUUAAUCGGAAUUACUGGGCGUAAAGCGCGCGUAGGUGGUUCGUUAAGUUGGAUGUGAAAUCCCCGGGCUCAACCUGGGAACUGCAUUCAAAACUGUCGAGCUAGAGUAUGGUAGAGGGUGGUGGAAUUUCCUGUGUAGCGGUGAAAUGCGUAGAUAUAGGAAGGAACACCAGUGGCGAAGGCGACCACCUGGACUGAUACUGACACUGAGGUGCGAAAGCGUG